AGAAUCAACGCUGGCGGCGUGCCUAACACAUGCAAGUCGAACGGGAAAGUGGAGCAAUCCAUGAGUAUAGUGGCGACCGGGUGAGUAACACGUGACUAACCUACCCUUGAGUGGGGGAUAACCUCGGGAAAACCGGGGCUAAUACCGCAUAACAUCUUCGGGAUGAGAAGCUGAAGAUCAAAGGAGCAAUUCGCUUUCGGAGGGAGUCGCGGCUGAUUAGCUAGUUGGCGGGGUAACGCCCACAAGGCUUUGAUCGGUA
rnacentral:rRNA from 1 species